CGCUGGCGGCAUGCCUACACAUGUCUCGUCGAACGAUCAUUUUGGGGACUUUGUGGCGGACGGGUGAGUAACGCGUGAGAAUCUAGCCCCUUCAGGGCGGGGUCACCAGCGGGAAACGGCUGCUACAUACCCGAUAUUCCGAUUUAAGGUGAAAAGUUGUUUCGCCUGGGGAUGAGCUCUCGUUCUGAUUAGCUAGUUGGUGGGGUAAAAGCCUUCCAAGGCGAAACGAUCGGUUGCUGGUGUGAGAGGAUGAGCAACCACACUGGGACUGACACACGGGCUCCACACUCCUACGGGAGGCAGCAGUGGGGAAUUUUCCGCAGUGGGCGAAAGCCUUACGCCGCAACGCCGCGUGGGGGAAAAAAGUUUUUGUCGAUUGUAAACCCCUUUUCUCAAGGAAAAACACAAUGACGGUACUUGAGGAAUCAGCCUCGGCUAACUCCGUGCCAGCGGCCGUAUUAAUACGGAGGAGGCAAGCGUUAUUCGGAAUUAUUGGGCCGUAGAGCGUUCGUAGGCGGCUGUUCA
rnacentral:rRNA from 1 species